rnacentral:sRNA from 1 species
GGAAUUUAAGCCUCCUAAGUUUUACGGAGAGCCUCUAAAUUACCUUAAGUAUGUAUAAUAUCCCCUGUGACGCAAGGGUGUAACCCCUUUCUCAUAAGCAUUCUAAAGGUUGUGGAGAGCUGUUAUCAGACUGGGUUGCUAUGAUGUGGUAUUUCAAGCAAUUGGUGCUGUCAGAGGAUUUCUAAGACCAUAUUCUCUUAUCGCAAUUAUAUUUAUUUACAUAUCCCUGUAUAGAAGGGUCUCCAACAACAUUUAAAUCACAUUCUAGUAGAUUGG